UACGUAGGGUGCAAGCGUUGUCCGGAAUUAUUGGGCGUAAAGAGCUCGUAGGCGGUCUGUCGCGUCGGCUGUGAAAACCCGGGGCUCAACCCCGGGACUGCAGUCGAUACGGGCAGACUAGAGUGCGGUAGAGGAGACUGGAAUUCCUGGUGUAGCGGUGAAAUGCGCAGAUAUCAGGAAGAACACCCGUGGCUAAGGCGGCUCUCUAGUACGGUACUGACGCUGAGACGCGAAAGCGUGGGGAGCGAACAGG
rnacentral:rRNA from 1 species